rnacentral:rRNA from 1 species
UACGGAGGGGGCUAGCGUUGUUCGGAAUUACUGGGCGUAAAGCGCGCGUAGGCGGACCUGCAAGUCGGGGGUGAAAGCCCGAGGCUCAACCUCGGAACUGCCUUCGAUACUGCGGGUCUCGAGUCCGGGAGAGGUGAGUGGAAUUCCUAGUGUAGAGGUGAAAUGCGUAGAUAUCAAGCGGAACACCAGUGGCGAAGGCGAGUCCCUGGACAACUCCUGACACUGAGGCACGAAAGCUAGGGGAGCAAACAGG